GCGACGUCGCUAUGAACGCUUGGCCGCCCAAGCCAGUUAUCCCUGUGGUAACUUUUCUGGCACCUCUAGCCUCAAACGUCGAGGCCCAAAGGAUCGAUAGGCCRCACUUUCAUGGUUCGUAUKCACACUGAACAUCAAAAUCAAGGGGACUUUURCCCUUUUGUUCUACUGGAGRUUUCUGUUCUCCAUGAGCYCCCCUUAGGACACCUGCGUUAUGGUUUAACAGAUGUGCCGCCCCAGCCAAACUCCCCACCUGRCAAUGUCUUC
rnacentral:rRNA from 1 species